UGAUACCCUUUUUUCCUAUAAAAUUUACUUUUUCACUCUGAAAGACUUCUUCAUGGUGGAUUUGCCCUUGCCCGGCAAUUUUACUUCCUUUCUUGCACUGGUUUCUUGAUGACUGUGGAUGAGGGUCUGGUCUUCUUGGCAGGCGUUUUGGCCUUAGGAGGUGCUUUCUUAGGCAAGGGCCUAGCUUUCCCCCGCUGGGCAGCUGAGACUUUAGGUGGCGGCUCUUCAUCCUCAGAGUCUUCUUCUGAUGACUCAUCUUCAUCUUCAUCCUCAUCUCUAGAAUCAUCUGGCUCUUUCUUCGGAAACAGAACUCC
rnacentral:lncRNA from 1 species